AAGGAUACCAUCCAUGGCAAAACUUCCUCCAGCAACAUUAUAGGAACACUACAUAUGAAUUGCCACACAAGUGAGGCUUGUUCUUUAGUAGACAAUUUCUGGAUCAACAGAGGAAAAACCUGAGGCAGUGGAUAAAUUUGACACAUAUGUUGGUAGAUGGAGGUUUGCAAGAUGCCAACACGGUACACAAGUUCUCGGAGCAACUUGGUAACAUUCUCAUUAGAACCCAUCAGCUCAUCCAAGGACUGUAAGAUAGAAUCAAACAGCCCAUCGGUGCUGUUAUGUUCAAGGGAAUAUGUACAAACAACAUUUUGGACAUGUUUAUCCAGUGCAUGGAAGAUAAUCUGCCAAAAAUUAUUUUGAAGUUAGAGUUGGAAUUCCAAACCUUACAAAGUAUAACAAUCAUUAAAUGCAAACACCUUGUAACAGACACACGCAUGUGAGAGAGAAUAUUCUCUAUUACUCUACAGCUCGUAGUGUAACACUCCCUCGAAAUAUCACAAAAUAAGAAUGUUUUAUAUUUUCUAUGUAAUAUUAACUAUUUUACUUCAAUUUUAUCCUCAAUUAACACUA